UACGUAGGGGGCAAGCGUUGUCCGGAUUUAUUUGGGCGUAAAGAGCUCGUAGGCGGUUUGUCGCGUCUGCCGUGAAAGUCCGGGGCUCAACUCCGGAUCUGCGGUGGGUACGGGCAGACUAGAGUGAUGUAGGGGAGACUGGAAUUCCUGGUGUAGCGGUGAAAUGCGCAGAUAUCAGGAGGAACACCGAUGGCGAAGGCAGGUCUCUGGGCAUUAACUGACGCUGAGGAGCGAAAGCAUGGGGAGCGAACAGG
rnacentral:rRNA from 1 species